UGCAUAUCAAAAGCGGAGGAAAAGAAACCAACAGGGAUUGGCCUAGUAACGGCGAGUGAAGCGGCAACAGCUCAAAUUUGAAAUCUGGCUCUCGGGCCCGAGUUGUAAUUUGUAGAGGAUACUUUUGAUGCGGUGCCUUCCGAGUUCCCUGGAACGGGACGCCAUAGAGGGUGAGAGCCCCGUCUGGUUGGAUGCCAAAUCUCUGUAAAGUUCCUUCGACGAGUCGAGUAGUUUGGGAAUGCUGCUCUAAAUGGGAGGUAUAUGUCUUCUAAAGCUAAAUACCGGCCAGAGACCGAUAGCGCACAAGUAGAGUGAUCGAAAGAUGAAAAGCACUUUGAAAAGAGAGUUAAAAAGUACGUGAAAUUGUUGAAAGGGAAGCGUUUAUGACCAGACUUGGGCUUGGUUAAUCAUCUGGGGUUCUCCCCAGUGCACUUUUCCAGUCCAGGCCAGCAUCAGUUUUCCCCGGGGGAUAAAGASUUCGGGAAUGUGGCUCUCUUCGGGGAGUGUUAUAGCCCGUUGUGUAAUACCCUGGGGGGGACUGAGGUUCGCGCAUCUGCAAGGAUGCUGGCGUAAUGGUCAUCAACGACCCGUCUUGAACACGGACCA
rnacentral:rRNA from 1 species